AAUAGUCUAAAACCUCUCUCCUGAAAAUUUUUUUUUUUCUCUUGCUUUCAAAGUUCAAACAUGAGGAAAGAACCUGGACUCUUUUCUGAUUUUGACAAAAAAGCCAAACCUAAUAAAUUCACCUUUCUUCUCAGUCAGAUUUGGGUAACUUUGAACUAUCAACUGUUAUAUAAGCAAUUCGAUUUUUUUUUCCAGAUUUACUCAACAAAGAUUACACCUCCGACCAGAAGUUCACCAUCUGUAGCUCCAGCUUCACUGGAGUGAUUUUUUUUAGGGGGAGGAGCAGGAAAUUAUAAAUUGUGGCCCUAGAAUCAUGAAUCAUCUGGUCAUGAUUCUAACCAGUUGUCUGGAUAAUUUGUUCACUGAUUUCAUUGAGUAUAUAAAACAAAGAGGGUUGGAGGUUACCUAGUGUUUCAUGUCUUGACCUUUUGUGGGCAACAGUCGCUACGUGGAACUGAGGCUUACUUGCUGGAUGAGUUGUAUCUUUGGUCAGCAAAAUUAGUUUGAUUUACUGUUGGUUUAAAUUGUUGUUUGCUUCUCUUUCUGUUAUGCACUUUCUUUUUAUCUUUUGUGUCAGAGAUCAAGGAUUUUCUUCUCUCUGUACUUAGUUGUAUGUGAUGCCUGGUUGGUUCUUCCCUGCUGGCAUAGCUAUCCUCCUCCAUCACUAGUAUCAAAUCUUGUGAAAAAGGGAAGUCUCUUCUCUGGGGAUGUGGCAGCACAAUACAAGUACAAGAAUGUUAUAGUUGAUGUCAAGCUUGAUAUAGAGUCAAAUGUUGUUGCCAACCUUAUCUUUUGAAAUUGAAUUCAGUUUAGAUUCUUACUAAUAUUAGUUUAUGUAUUGAGCAGAUCUUGACAACCUUCACUAUCACAAAUUUACUUCCAUCUACAAAAAUAACUCUGGGAAUUUACUGACUUACUUAUCAUCUAAGCUGGAAUAAAAAAUGUUAAAAAAUGUAGACAUAAAGAUUUUUGACAGUAUAAUCUUUCUUUUGCAGUUGGAGGUUCAGUAUUUUCAUGAAUAUGCUGCUCUGACUACUGCUGUUGGGCUGAAGAAAUCCCCGGCUGUUGAUUUUUCUGCAACCAUUGAUACUCCCAGCAUUACUUUUGGUGCAAGCUACAUGACUUCUUGUAGUGAUUUUGCAAAGUAUAAUGCUGGAGUGAACAUCACAAAAUCGAGUUUAAUGCUUCAUUGAUCCUGUAAGUUUUACAGUUUUCAGUUGAUAUAGUCAUAUCUUACAGCAAUUUACUUACAGUACAUACAAAAGUAAAAUAAAAGAUUGCAUAUAGCAGUUGAUGAAAUUGGUGCAAUAUGACGACUUUUGUUUAAUAAAUAUCAAACAAAUUAAUAAUAUAAUGUUGCUUCAUUGCAGCAAAACAUAAAAACAAAAAAGCAAAUAAUGGAAAUUGUCUUUCUUGUUUUCCCCCUCAAGGUGUUAUAUUUAGAUGGCCACAACAAAAGCCAAAAGACAUAAUCAGUUAUUGUUCAUUUAAAUCAGCUGAAUGGUGGAGCUGUGGUAGGUGAGAUUGCAAGAAAGUUCUCCACAAAUGAAAACACGUUAACUGUGGGAUGUUCAUAUCUUCUUGAUCCACUCUUACUUGUUAAGGCAAAGCUUAACAACCAUGGCAAUCUUGUUGUACAUGAGCUCAGACGAAAAUCCUUUCUUACAAAUAUCUGAGACCUUUGACACGAAGGCUUUAAAGUCUUUGGAGCAAACUUUCAAGUUUGGUUUGUCUCUCACUCUCAAGUCUUGAACAAGUUUAUUUUCAAACAAUGUGGCUGAUGGAUUGAUAAAUAUCUUGAUUAUCUUUUUUCUCACUUUCACAUAGGCAUCUUGAUAGUGAUUGAAAAUGGAAUGAGUACCUUUCAGAAAGUGUUUACAUUUUUGAAUUGUUCAAAAUAAUUGAUUACUACUCUUUAAUAAAUUAUUACUCAUAUUAAGUGAUUAUGCCUCUUGUGAUGAAUUUCUUUAAAAGUGGCAUAUGGUUUGGUUG